UGGCGCCCAAUGUGGGGCUCCUAGCACGAAGGGCUCAACGAGGGAGCCAUCCUGAGACAUGCACGUAAAGUGAAACUAAAAGUUUUGCGACCAACGCUAUGCGGGAGCCUGCCGCACCACUCGAGUCACGGUAAGUGGAUGGCGAUCCUUUCCCCUUUUUUCCAGCAUGGGUCAGGCACUAAGUAAUUUGUGUCAGGUUUAAGUAAAGCUUUUAAGACAAGAGGGACAAAGGCUAAAGAAAAAGAUUUAUUGCAGUAUUUUCAAUUUAUUCAUAAGGUUUGCCCUU
rfam:Cavia porcellus supercont2_28 genomic scaffold, whole genome shotgun sequence.